GGGUGCGAUCAUAUUACUACUAAUGAACUGGAUUCCAUUCGAACUCCGCAAUUAAGCAUGCUUGGACGACGUGUAGUAGUUUUAUACAUACCAGCACUUUGAGUAAAUUUUUGGUACGCAUCCA
rnacentral:rRNA from 1 species